CCUACGGGAGGCAGCAGUGGGGGAUAUUGCACAAUGGACGGAAGUCUGAUGCAGCGACGCCGCGUGGGGGAUGAAGGCUUUCGGGUUGUAAACCUCUUUUAUUCCUGAACAAGGCUUGGAUUGUUGUCUGGGUUGAGGGUAGGGGGUGAAUAAGCGCCGGCUAACUACGUGCCAGCAGCCGCGGUAAUACGUAGGGCGCGAGCGUUGUCCGGAUUUAUUGGGCGUAAAGAGCUCGUAGGCGGUUUGUUGCGUCUGCUGUGAAAACGCGGGGCUUAACUUCGCGCGUGCAGUGGGUACGGGCAGGCUAGAGUGCGGUAGGGGAGAUUGGAAUUCCUGGUGUA
rnacentral:rRNA from 1 species